UACGUAGGGUGCGAGCGUUGUCCGGAAUUAUUGGGCGUAAAGAGCGUGUAGGCGGCCUGGAAGGUCAGCUGUGAAAACUCGAGGCUCAACCUCGAGACGUCGGUUGAAACCACCUGGCUAGAGUCCGGAAGAGGAGUGUGGAAUUCCCGGUGUAGCGGUGGAAUGCGCAGAUAUCGGGAGGAACACCGGUGGCGAAGGCGGCUCUCUAGUACGGUACUGACGCUGAGACGCGAAAGCGUGGGGAGCGAACAGG
rnacentral:rRNA from 1 species